AUUACGUCACACCGACCUAUCAGCUGACCUCACAGCUGAUUUCACUCCAGCUGAGACGCCGGCUUUUCACAAGCUAGGAGGAAUAGCUGUCGGUCAACGUGCUUUCCUUUGUCCAUCCAAACGUGCAUUCUGGUCUACUCUUUGCACUCCGAUCUGUUGCCAAAUUCAACUUGGCGUGACACGCUCUCCGCCUCGUACAAGAGUAUCUACCGGUGCCAUCAGCUGUUUGUUGGCUACCCUGUUCAUCUACCAAAGCUCCGAGAGCUCUCUCCUUCUGGCUCAGCGUGGGUUUGAGUUUCCUCUGACUCGUCGGCCUUUAUUGUCUCCCUCCUCUCCUCCUCUGCUGUUGUGGAACGCGCCUGGGUGUAGCUGCAGACUCCCGGUUCGCUCUGAAUUGCUGCUGUUUUGUCCCCCCCUCGAUACGUGCUUCGGACUGACGCGUCGCAGUGUCCGGUCAUCCGAGGGCUAUCACUCCGAAAGCAUUCAGCAGCCCAGCAUAAGUUAACUUGCGCAGGUGGCGCAUGUGGCCGAGUUCAGUGUGUGUGUGAAUGUAGUCUGUGUGAGUGAGUGUCCUGUUAUGUCGUGGUGAGAGCGCGAUUAAUUUGUUUAUUUUGUACAUUUUCUU